rnacentral:rRNA from 1 species
GUUUGAUCCUGGCUCAGAGCGAACGUUAGCGGCAGGCUUAACACAUGCAAGUCGAGCGACAAAGGGGCUUCGGCCCUGAGUAGAGCGGCGGACGGGUGCGUAACACGUGGAUAAUCUGCCUCGUGGCGGGGGAUAACAGUCCGAAAGGACUGCUAAUACCGCAUGUCAGGUCGGAAACCCCGGUUUCUGACGAAAAAGAGGGCGCCCCGCAAGGGGCUCUCACCACGAGAUGAGUCCGCGGCCCAUCAGCUAGUUGGCGGUGUAAUAGACCACCAAGGCUAAGACGGGUAGCUGGUCUGAGAGGAUGACCAGCCACACUGGGACUGAGACACGGCCCAGACUCCUACGGGAGGCAGCAGUGGGGAAUAUUGGACAAUGGGCGAAAGCCUGAUCCAGCCAUGCCGCGUGAGUGAUGAAGGUCUUCGGAUCGUAAAGCUCUGUGGAAGGGACGAAAAGCUAACCUAAUACGUUAGGUCUUGACGGUACUUCUUAGCAAGCACCGGCUAACUCCGUGCCAGCACG